CAGUCGCCGCGGUAAAACGAAGGGGGCUAGCGUUGUUCGGAUUUACUGGGCGUAAAGCGCACGUAGGCGGACUUUUAAGUCAGGGGUGAAAUCCCGGGGCUCAACCCCGGAACUGCCUUUGAUACUGGAAGUCUUGAGUAUGGUAGAUGUGAGUGGAAUUCCGAGUGUAGAGGUGAAAUUCGUAGAUAUUCGGAGGAACACCAGUGGCGAAGGCGGCUCACUGGACCAUUACUGACGCUGAGGUGCGAAAGCGUGGGGAGCAAACAGGAUUAGAUACCCCCGUAGUCCCUGUCUCUUAUAC
rnacentral:rRNA from 1 species